AUUGAACGCUGGCGGCAUGCCUUACACAUGCAAGUCGAACGGUAACGGGCCUUCGGGUGCCGACGAGUGGCGAACGGGUGAGUAAUACAUCGGAACGUGCCCGAUCGGGGGGGAUAACGAGGCGAAAGCUUUGCUAAUACCGCAUACGAUCUACGGAUGAAAGCAGGGGACCGCAAGGCCUUGCGCGGACGGAGCGGCCGAUGGCAGAUUAGGUAGUUGGUGGGAUAAAAGCUUACCAAGCCGACGAUCUGUAGCUGGCCUGAGAGGAUGAUCAGCCACACUGGGACUGAGACACGGCCCAGACUCCUACGGGAGGCAGCGGUGGGGAAUUUUGGACAAUGGGCGCAAGCCUGAUCCAGCCAUGCCGCGUGCAGGAUGAAGGCCUUCGGGUUGUAAACUGCUUUUGUACGGAACGAAAAGCCUUCUUUUAAUACAGGAGGGUCAUGACGGUACCGUAAGAAUAAGCACCGGCUAACUACGUG
rnacentral:rRNA from 1 species